rnacentral:rRNA from 1 species
UACGUAGGGGGCAAGCGUCGUCCGGAUUUAUUGGGCGUAAAGAGCGUGUAGGCGGUUUGGUAGGUCCGUUGUGAAAACUCGAGGCUCAACCUCGAGACGCCGAUGGAAACCAUCAGACUAGAGUCCGGAAGAGGAGAGUGGAAUUCCUGGUGUAGCGGUGAAAUGCGCAGAUAUCAGGAAGAACACCCGUGGCUAAGGCGGCUCUCUAGUACGGUACUGACGCUGAGACGCGAAAGCGUGGGGAGCGAACAGG